UGUUGGUGACAGAGACAAGCUUUCGAGCUUACACAGAGCUCUUCUUCAGGUCUGGGAAAGGCACUCCCAGCAUCACAGCAAAAUGCAAGGUAAUAACGGAUCCUUGAGAGAGGAGUUUCAGAAUGUUUCCACUUCGGCAGGUCCUUGCCAUUAAAGGGAAGAUCCUGCAUCACAGACUGCGCUUCCGUGAAGAGCCCAGACAGCAGUAGCCACGACACCCUGCGCAUGGACACCACCGAGGCCAUGGACCAAGCAGCCAUGUCAGCUGCAUCCGAUGCUGCCUGCAGAGCAGCCUUUGCAGCAGCAGUACCCUCCUCCACGAGCGCUUUAAAUUCCUUCCUUUCAAGCUCCGGAAGGGAGGGUUAGAAUUUCGGCAGUGACCCCCACAAGUUAAACUCAUAACGACUGAGGAG